GCUGGGCAUGGUGGCGCAUGCCUGUAAUCCCAGCUACUCGGAAGCUGAGGCAGGAGAAUCGCUUGAACCUAGGAGGCAGAGGUUGUAGUGAGCAGAGAUCGCACCACUGCACUCCAGCCUGGGCGACAGAGCGAGACUCUGUCUCAA
rfam:Homo sapiens chromosome 16, GRCh38 reference primary assembly.